GCCCUUAAACGUCUUUGCUAGAAUGGCAGUAGGUCGCCCUUUUGUAUUUUGUGCUUCAUGGAAGGCCUGAUAAAUAAAAUAUUAUUUUAAAUUUCUUGUAUUCAUAAAUAAUAUUUAUUUAUACGUGAGCAUGUAUUUUUCCUAACAAACCUUGGCCAACUCUUCUACAUCAUGACCAUCAACUACCAAUGCAUUGAAACCAAAAGCUUCAAGUCUUUUGCGAUAGACUUCCAUAUUAUGUUGAAGAGAUGUUGGUUCACUUUGACCCAGACGGUUAAUAUCAAAAAUAGCACAAAGAUUUUCCAAUUUAUUGCUAUCUACAUACCUAAUGGACCUCUACAGGUAGGACAGCAGUUAAGUUUUGGUCUGCAAUUACUACAAACAAGAUGUCCACUCUGGCAUUGUAAGAUUGGUGGAAGAACAUAAUCAAAGCAAACUGGACAUUCAAAUAGGCUUGCUAAGUCAGUUGAGCUGCUUAGAGAUGAUACAGUAGAUGCGGAGGAGCUUGCAACACUCCUCCCUCUCUUCCCAGUACUAAUACUUAAUUGGGACAUCUUUUUCUUUUAUUCUAUGUAUCAAAUAAGAACACUUUGCCUUUUAGUUGGCAAAAAAAUCCAUUUAUUUUAAAGAUGUCUAAUAAAUGCGAUGCAUUUUGGAAUGAGCCAUCCACCUCAUAUCUGCAAAUUAUUAGAAUUUCAGAGAUAUUACAGAGUGUUAUAUUUAUAAAUACAAAAAUUUUAUGAUUUUAUUAAUUACGAAUAUUCAUUAAAUUCUAAACUAAUACCUUCGUAUAAAGUGAAAAUUAUUUUAAUAUAUUGAAAUAUAUAUUUAACACAUAUAUAAUUAUCUUGCAAUGUGUAUAAUCUGGCUAUCGUCAGUGUUAUUAUACUUUAUCUCUAUAAAAAAUAAUGAAUUUUUUGUUAUAUAUAUCAUUCUACAUAGUGGGAUAUUCAUGAUAAUUUUAAUUAUUGAACUUUAUAAUUAAUUCAGUUAAUACAUUAUUUACAGUUAUGUAAGGAUAAAAUGAACUUUAUGGAGUAUAUCUGGCUUCUAUAUUUUUAUCACUUAUACGAUGUACUAUAUUCUACCUUUCAACUAAAAAAAAAAAAGAAAAAGAAAGAAAACAAUGUGUUAUAAGGCAUUACGUAUAUUGAUGUUUAUUCGACAUUGAAAUGAUGCAAUAAAAAUUUUGGUCAGUGCAAUCCUUUUAUUACUUUUACUCAAUAAAUUUUUACUUAAGUAAUGUUAUAAAAUUUAUUAUCAAAAAAUACUAGAAUCAUAUAUGCACAAUUCAUAAUAU
rnacentral:misc_RNA from 1 species